rnacentral:rRNA from 1 species
AUUGAACGCUGGCGGCAGGCCUAACACAUGCAAGUCGAACGAGUGGCGGACGGGUGAGUAAUGGCUGAGCAAGUGCGUGAUGGAGGGGGAUAACUACGGGAAACGGUAGCUAAUACUGCAUACCACGCGAUGUGCCCAGAUGGGUUUAGCUAGUAGGUGGGGUAACGGCUGACCUAGGCGACGAUCCCUAGCUGGUCUGAGAGGAUGACCAGCCACACUGGAACUGAGACACGGUCCAGACUCCUACGGGAGGCAGCAGUGGGGAAUAUUGCACAAUGGGCGCAAGCCUGAUGCAGCCAUGCCGCGUGUAUGAAGAAGGCCUUCGGGUUGUAAAGUACUUUCAGCGGGGAGGCGUUACCCGCAGAAGAAGCACCGGCUAACUCCGUGCCAGCAGCCGCGGUAAUAC